rnacentral:rRNA from 1 species
UACGUAGGGUGCAAGCGUUAAUCGGAAUUACUGGGCGUAAAGCGUGCGCAGGCGGUUUUGUAAGUCUGACGUGAAAGCCCCGGGCUCAACCUGGGAAUUGCGUUGGAGACUGCAAGGCUUGAAUCUGGCAGAGGGGGGUAGAAUUCCACGUGUAGCAGUGAAAUGCGUAGAGAUGUGGAGGAACACCGGAUGGCGAAGGCAGCCCCCUGGGUCAAGAUUGACGCUCAUGCACGAAAGCGUGGGGAGCAAACAGG